GGGAUAUAGCUCAGUUGGUAGAGCGUCGCGUUCGCAACGCGAAGGUCUCGAGUUCGAGUCUCGUUAUCUCC
rnacentral:tRNA from 1 species